GGAGAAGGUUUGUUUGCCCCCAAAUGGUGCCUCUAUCCCUGGGUGGUGAAGCCUGUGUCCCUCUUGAUAUUGCUGUAAUUUUCUUCUUGUGAAUUAAGGGUUUCUUCAGUGGAGGAAUUUAUUUGCCAUUCAUAUAUCCCUGUUCAGUAAAAAAAAAAAAAACCUCUUCUUCAUUUAACUCCUUGCUUGCACCCCCUUACGUACUUUACCCUCUACCUGGUGAGAACAGCUGAUUCUUACCAGUUUGAGCCAAUAUCACCUACUGGUGGUGAGUGCCAAGCUUGCCCCUUCCCACUUUUUUUCUUCCCUACCUGUCUCUCUUGAAACUCUUUCCUUACUCUGGAAAUCCAUGGGAAUAAUUAAGUGUUUGCAACUGUUUUCUACAGAGCCAGUUUCCUCAGAGAGCUGAUUAAAGGUGAAUAGGAGAGAAGCUCAUUUCAUCCACGUUUUUAUCUCCUCCCAAGGCAUCGCAAUUUGCCAGGAGAACGAGAAAAUCCUGGAUUCUGUGGGGUCGAGGAAACUUCUCUAAUCUCCCUCGUUAAACAGAAGCGGCAGCUCUCACUGUGUUGAUAAGGGUGUUUUGCCAGGGUGAGCUACCAGCCCUACAGCAUCCUGGCUCUCUUGAAGGUCACCCAGUGCUCAUCCUGUCUCAGUGUCCUGACAGCACCCACUGUGACAUUACCAGGGAGCCCACGUGAGCCACCUCCAUGCUAGCAGGGGGAGUGGGAGCUACGGAGUGUGACGCAAAGGGCCUGGAAACCACCCCGAGAGAGAAGGAUGCUCAAGCCCCCACCUUCGUGGGAUGCAGGAGCUUCGGCAUCUCGCAGAGCUUCCUGCCCGCAGCCUGUGCCCAGGCUCUGAGAAGUGAACUGGGCACUGAAUCAGACGUAAAUGGCCUUUGACACAAAGAUGAAUCCAUGGUGGCACCUGAUCCUAUGGGUCUUCCACCCUGACCAGGAGCUGGUGUCCUCUCCCCAGUGAGAGCUGGUCCUGCUCCCCAUCACAUUGGCCAGAGGCUCCUUGGCCCACAGAGGAUGGAAGGAUGUGCUGUAAGAAUCUUUUAUCCUUCUCCCAGCUUUUCUUUAAGGAAUUAUUUGUGUUCAGACCUGCCAUGUGUAGCCACCCUGCAGCCAUGGCUUGCUCCAGGUGAAAUCCAUCUCACCUGUUCCCCUGUCCUCCAGCUCCAGGUUGCU